rnacentral:lncRNA from 1 species
UGUUGUUCUAUAGGACUGGUACUGUCUUUCACACGUAUAUUAAGAUUAUUCUUAUAGAAUUGUACAAUUCAAAAGAUGCACAUGUAUACUAUCCAAAGUUACAGUAUUUAAUCAAUUUUCUCUUUUCAUUCAUUUGCAUGUAGUUGUGAAUUGUUUCUAAUUUUUGUAAUUUUAUUUUGUAGAUUGUUCAGGCUGUUGAUCAUACUUCUAGUGAAGAUAAUUGAUAAGGACUGUCUUUUGGCGUAAUACCUGCCAUUCUAAAUUUUGUUUUUUCACAUGUUAUUAUGUUCCGAAUGAAAUUAUUAAAAGACUGGAUGCUGCAAACCUACAUCCCAUAGUAUAUUUGUGUUUUGUGUUAUUAAGCCUUGUAUAGAAAAGAAAUGCUUUAUGUUCGGUUGAACCCGUGAAAAAGAACAUA